rnacentral:rRNA from 1 species
GACGAACGCUGGCGGCGUGCUUAACACAUGCAAGUCGAACGGAAAGGCCCUGCUUGCGGGGUACUCGAGUGGCGAACGGGUGAGUAACACGUGGGUGGUCUGCCCUGCACUUCGGGAUAAGCCUGGGAAACUGGGUCUAAUACCGGAUAGGAGCCAUUUUUAGUGUGAUGGUUGGAAAGUUUUUUCGGUGUAUGAUGAGCUCGCGGCCUAUCAGCUUGUUGGUGUGGUAAUGGCCUACCAAGGCGGCGACGGGUAGCCGGACUGAGAGGGUGGACGGCCACAUUGGGACUGAGAUACGGCCCAGACACCUACGGGAGGCAGCAGUGGGGAAUAUUGCACAAGGGGCGCAAGCCUGAUGAAGCGACGCCGCGGGGGGGAUGACGGCCUUAGGGUUGUAAACUCAUUUCGCUAGGGACGAAGCUUUUUGUGACGGUACCUAGAUAAGAAGCACCGGCUAACUACGUG